rnacentral:rRNA from 1 species
GACAGAGGAUGCAAGCGUUAUCCGGAAGUAUUGGGCGUAAAGCGUCUGUAGGUGGCUUUUUAAGUCUGCCGUCAAAUCCCAGGGCUUAACCCUGGACAGGCGGUGGAAACUACCAAGCUGGAGUACGGUAGGGGCAGGGGGAAUUUCCGGUGGAGCGGUGAAAUGCGUAGAGAUCGGAAAGAACACCAACGGCGAAAGCACUCUGCUGGGCCGACACUGACACUGAGAGACGAAAGCUAGGGGAGCGAAUGGG